rnacentral:rRNA from 1 species
AAACCGUUCAGGGGUAAACCUGUGAAACCCAAAAGAUCGAAUGAGGAGAUUCAUCGUCAGCGUAAUCAGUAUUAAUGCAGGCUAUGAUGUGAUAAUAGAAUCCUCGUGGUCACUAGAUUAUACUUGCUUGUGUUAUUUUUGCUGGGUGCGUCGGCGUGCACUUCUCCUCUAGUAGAACGUCGCAACCCGUUGGAUGUUUAUCUAUGGCCUGAUUGGUAGCCUUUGAUAUAAUUUUAUAUUGAAGACCUUUUGGUGUCCUGAUAAACUGUCUGACGGUAUACGNAUAUAGUAUUGAGCCGCAAUUAUUUGCGUUAGACUUCUGCAAGUAAGGCUUUAUUCUGGUAGUGCAGAUUUAAUGCUGUCGCUGGNACAAAGUCUGCUGUUAGCUGGUAAUGUCUUUAACUGGCUUAUUUACUGGUUAGCGAUGCUACGCUUUGGGUACUUA